GUUGCAGGGUAUAGACCCGAAACCCGGUGAUCUAGCCAUGGGCAGGUUGAAGGUUGGGUAACACUAACUGGAGGACCGAACCGACUAAUGUUGAAAAAUUAGCGGAUGACCUGUGGCUGGGGGUGAAAGGCCAAUCAAACCGGGAGAUAGCUGGUUCUCCCCGAAAGCUAUUUAGGUAGCGCCUCGUGAAUUCAUCUCCGGGGGUAGAGCACUGUUUCGGCUAGGGGGCCAUCCCGGCUUACCAACCCGAUGCAAACUGCGAAUACCGGAGAAUGUUAUCACGGGAGACACACGGCGGGUGCUAACGUCCGUCGUGAAGAGGGAAACAACCCAGACCGCCAGCUAAGGUCCCAAAGUCAUGGUUAAGUGGGAAACGAUGUGGGAAGGCCCAGACAGCCAGGAUGUUGGCUUAGAAGCAGCCAUCAUUUAAAGAAAGCGUAAUAGCUCACUGGUCGAGUCGGCCUGCGCGGAAGAUGUAACGGGGCUAAACCAUGCACCGAAGCUGCGGCAGCGACACUGUGUGUUGUUGGGUAGGGGAGCGUUCUGUAAGCCUGUGAAGGUGUGUCGUGAGGCAUGCUGGAGGUAUCAGAAGUGCGAAUGCUGACAUAAGUAACGAUAAAGCGGGUGAAAAGCCCGCUCGCCGGAAGACCAAGGGUUCCUGUCCAACGUUAAUCGGGGCAGGGUGAGUCGACCCCUAAGGCGAGGCCGAAAGGCGUAGUCGAUGGGAAACGGGUUAAUAUUCCCGUACUUGGUGUUACUGCGAAGGGGGGACGGAGAAGGCUAUGUUGGCCGGGCGACGGUUGUCCCGGUUUAAGCGUGUAGGUGUGUGUUCCAGGUAAAUCCGGUUCACUUUAACACUGAGGCGUGACGACGAGGCACUACGGUGCUGAAGCAACAAAUGCCCUGCUUCCAGGAAAAGCCUCUAAGCAUCAGGUAACAUCAAAUCGUACCCCAAACCGACACAGGUGGUCAGGUAGAGAAUACCAAGGCGCUUGAGAGAACUCGGGUGAAGGAACUAGGCAAAAUGGUGCCGUAACUUCGGGAGAAGGCACGCUGACACGUAGGUGAAGUGAUUUACUCAUGGAGCUGAAGUCAGUCGAAGAUACCAGCUGGCUGCAACUGUUUAUUAAAAACACAGCACUGUGCAAACACGAAAGUGGACGUAUACGGUGUGACGCCUGCCCGGUGCCGGAAGGUUAAUUGAUGGGGUCAGCGCAAGCGAAGCUCCUGAUCGAAGCCCCGGUAAACGGCGGCCGUAACUAUAACGGUCCUAAGGUAGCGAAAUUCCUUGUCGGGUAAGUUCCGACCUGCACGAAUGGCGUAAUGAUGGCCAGGCUGUCUCCACCCGAGACUCAGUGAAAUUGAACUC
rnacentral:rRNA from 1 species